CCUACCCAAUCAAUGGACCAAGAAAUGAUGCAGGGCCAUGGCUACCAAAAUACUUAAAGCUAAAACCUUUGUCGCAUAAUUUCCCAACUGAAACGAGCAAAUGUCAACUGCUCUAUCCGCAAUGUCCUCACAAAUAGUAAGAGCUUCAUGGGACACCCAGCAAAGACUCUCAUACAAUCCCAACGCUCCUCGAAAACCCAAGAAAAACCCUAUUUCCCAACCCAACUCUUUACCUCCGACACCAUCACCAACGCCUUCACCAUCAAUUACUUUGACUCCUCAAGCAGUUUCAGAACUUCUCAAGCGCAACACUAAAGCUCAAGCGGUUGUAACGAAAUUUGGUGAUACUUAUUUGGGCUAUGAGAGAUGGAUGCCCAGUCCACCAAAAGUGGAGAAGCCUCGAUCAGUUUAUAAUGCAGCUACUUUAGCUUAUAUUGGUGAUAGCAUAUAUGAGCUAUACGCUCGAAGGCACUUUUUGUUUCCUCCAUUAAGUAUUGACGAGUACAAUGAUCGUGUAACAGCAGUAGUACGCUGUGAAGCACAGGAUGCGUUGCUUCAGAAACUUCUUAGUGAUGAUUGCUUAUCAAAAGAAGAAAGAGAUGUCCUUCGUUGGGGAAAGAAUAUUGGUUCAGCUAAAACACGGACAAAAAAACGUGCUGGAGCAGCUGUAUAUAACAGAGCAUCUUCACUAGAAACACUAGUUGGCUACCUAUACCUGACAAAUGUAAAUCGUUUAGAAGAAAUCAUGCUAAAGUUGGGGUUUUCAACUGGUCCAUCUUCACAAAUGAUUCUGGAGGAAGCUGAGAGUAAGUUAACAACAAUAUAGAGGUUCUCCUUUCAAAUUUGUGAAAGCAUAACCUUUUGGAGCACCUUACUAUCCUACUUCCUAAAUAGCUAUGGGGCAUCAUGUGGGUGAGCAAGCGAGAUAGUCAAACUACGAUCGAGUUGAACUGGAAACUGCAGAUGAAAAAGAGCUGGACAUUCCUUUCAACAGAAGAUGCAUUUAUGGGGAGUAUUCUAGAGGAUUCCUAACCAGAAAUUUUAGAAUGUUUGAUUAAAAGACCUUGUUAAAGAUGUGCCAAUCCAAUCUCAAUGGAAGGUAAUAAACCACAACCUUCUGCAGCUGAGGUUUAAAACUUCACUUUCAAGUUUCAUUUUUUUUUUUUUUAGAUGGUUGUCCUUUCUUUAAAUUUUCUUUUUCUUUUUUAAAUAAAAAUGAGAAGAACAAACUUGAUGCAAUGACUUGGUUGAUAAGGCCUAUCCAGUUAUCCUUUAUCAAUGGGCAGAAAAUCAUAUACCAAGAAGCUAUGGCGUUUAGAAGGAUAACUGAUGAAGACUUGUCCUCCUUGGAAUUUAGAAACGUGUUUGUUUUUGUUUUUUUUUUUCCAGAAAUAUUAUGGUACAAUGAAAUAUUUUAUAAUAAUCCAGUUCCAAGUGAUUUUGACA